rnacentral:rRNA from 1 species
UACGGAGGGAGCUAGCGUUGUUCGGAUAUACUGGGCGUAAAGCGCACGUAGGCGGCGCCGUAAGUCAGGGGUGAAAUCCCGGAGCUCAACUCCGGAACUGCCCUUGAAACUGCAGUGCUAGAAUCCUGGAGAGGCGAGUGGAAUUCCGAGUGUAGAGGUGAAAUUCGUAGAUAUUCGGAAGAACACCAGUGGCGAAGGCGGCUAUCUGGCCCGUAAUUGACGCUGAGGCGCGAAAGCGUGGGGAGCAAACAGG